UAAGAAUUUUUUAUUAUAAAUAGAAUCAUACGUCAGUGUAAAUAUUACAUAAUACAUUAAAAGCCAUACAUGUAAUUUAUAUAUAUCACAUGGUUAAUCAACCAUACAUAAUUACUUUGCAUUUGUAAUCCAUAAAAUGUCAUCUAUAAUUGGAACUUUCAUAUCCUGUUAUAUCUAUAAUGAUUAGUCUCACAGAGGGUUGAAUCAUUUCAAUCUAAGUCUCUAAUAUGAUUAGCCAUCUGUCAUCAAUCUUCUGGACAUUUAUUA
rnacentral:lncRNA from 1 species